rnacentral:rRNA from 1 species
ACGUACACUCCUGCGGGAGGCAGCAGUGGGGAAUAUUGCACAAUGGGCGCAAGCCUGAUGCAGCCAUGCCGCGUGUAUGAAGAAGGCCUUCGGGUUGUAAAGUACUUUCAGCGGGGAGGAAGGCGAUAAGGUUAAUAACCUUGUCGAUUGACGUUACCCGCAGAAGAAGCACCGGCUAACUCCGUGCCAGCAGCCGCGGUAAUACGGAGGGUGCAAGCGUUAAUCGGAAUUACUGGGCGUAAAGCGCACGCAGGCGGUCUGUCAAGUCGGAUGUGAAAUCCCCGGGCUCAACCUGGGAACUGCAUUCGAAACUGGCAGGCUAGAGUCUUGUAGAGGGGGGUAGAAUUCCAGGUGUAGCGGUGAAAUGCGUAGAGAUCUGGAGGAAUACCGGUGGCGAAGGCGGCCCCCUGGACAAAGACUGACGCUCAGGUGCGAAAGCGUGGGGAGCAAACAGGAUUAGAUACCCGUGUAGUCCC